UACGCCACGGGCUGGGUGGCUUAUAAACAACAGAGAUUUGUAACUCACAGUUCUAAAAGCUUGGAUGCUCACAAUCAUUGCAAAGCCAACUUGAUGUCCAGUAAGAACGUGUUUCCCAGCUUGCAGAUGGUGUUCAUCUUGAUCCUCACACAGCAACAAGAGUAUGGAAAGGUCUCAGCUGAGUCAUGGAACAGCUACAAAUGAUGGAGGCACCCAGAGAGAAGCAAAGCCAGCUCUGUGAUCCUGAGGCAACGCUAACAAGAAACUACAAUCGUAAUGAAUAAUCACGAUGACCGCUAAACAGCACGGAUAACACAGGAAACACGAAGCAAAGCUUCCGGGAAGUCUCAGAUCCAAGAGCCUGCGCACCCGGACUCUGUCAAGCUCAGCCCACAGAAGGGGUGUGUAGCUGCAUGACCCUGUUUAUGCAAAUCUGAAAAAAGAGGAAACUCCUUCGGCCAGGAUAGUCAAGGAGGUGGGCGAACUGCGUUAGAAUAGGCAGGCAGCCAGUGCUUAGUGAGGCUAUCAAC